rnacentral:lncRNA from 1 species
CUCAAAGGGUUUCAAUGUUCCUUUCCCCUGUUGAAGUCACAGAUGCCAGAGAGAGAUCAAGAUGUAUCAGUCCACAGUACCCAAGGAAUUACCCCUAACUGCUGUGAGGGGGCAAAGGGUGAAGACAGCUCUUUCUACUUCCAGCUGAAAUGGGUCAUUGGUGCGAUCAGCAAUUAA